rnacentral:rRNA from 1 species
UACAGAGGUCUCAAGCGUUGUUCGGAUUCAUUGGGCGUAAAGGGUGCGUAGGCGGCGCGGUAAGUCGGGUGUGAAAGCCCUCGGCUCAACCGAGGAAGUGCAUUCGAAACUACUGGACUUGAGUAUGGAAGAGGGUCGCGGAAUUCCCGGUGUAGAGGUGAAAUUCGUAGAUAUCGGGAGGAACACCAGUGGCGAAGGCGGCGACCUGGGCCAAUACUGACGCUGAGGUGCGAAAGCGUGGGGAGCAAACAGG